CCUACGGGAGGCAGCAGUGAGGAAUAUUGGUCAAUGGAGGCAACUCUGAACCAGCCAUGCCGCGUGCAGGAUGACGGCCYUAUGGGUUGUAAACUGCUUUUAUAUAGGAAGAAACCUCUUYUACGUGUAGAGAGCUGACGGUACUAUAAGAAUAAGGACCGGCUAACUCCGUGCCAGCAGCCGCGGUAAUACGGAGGGUCCAAGCGUUAUCCGGAUUUAUUGGGUUUAAAGGGUACGUAGGCGGAAAAUUAAGUCAGUAGUGAAAGCCCAUCGCUCAACGAUGGAACUGCUAUUGAUACUGGUUUUCUUGAAUAUACUUGAAGUGGGCGGAAUACGACAUGUAGCGGUGAAAUGCAUAGAGAUGUCGUAGAACACCGAUUGCGAAGGCAGCUCACUAAGGUAUUAUUGACGCUAAUGUACGAAAGCGUGGGGAGCGAACAGGAUUAGAUACCCUGGUAGUCCACGCCGUAAACUAUGAUUACUCGGUGUCGGCGACAUACUGUCGGUGCCUAAGCGAAAGUGAUAGGUAAUCCACCUGGGGAGUACGAUCGCAAGGUUGAAACUCAAAAGGAAUUGACGGGG
rnacentral:rRNA from 1 species